AUCGAACGCUGGCGGCAGGCUUAACACAUGCAAGUCGAACGAGUGGCGGACGGGUGAGUAAUGUCUGGUAAACUGCCUGAUGAAGGGGGAUAACUACUGGAAACGGUAGCUAAUACCGCAUACCAUCGGAUGGGCCCAGAUGGGAUUAGCUAGUAGGUGGGGUAAAGGCUCACCUAGUCGACGAUCCCUAGCUGGUCUGAGAGGAGGACCAGCAAAUCUGGAUCUGAGACACGGUCCAACCUCCUACGGGAGGCGCGAGUGGGGAUUAUUGCACAAUGGGCACAAGCUUGACGAUGCAAUGCCGCUGGUUUGAGGAAGGCCUUCGGGUUGUAAGGUACUUUCAGCGGGGAGACGUUACCCGCAGAGGAAGCACCGGCUAACUCCGUGCCAGCAGCCGCGGUAAUUC
rnacentral:rRNA from 1 species